rnacentral:lncRNA from 1 species
CUAUACUCAGAAAACUCAGAACUUCAUGGCAACUUUUUUUUAAAUUAAAAUACAGUUCUUAAGGUUUCAAAGUUUUAUUUCUGUUUUUGUCAAAUAAAACUGUUCUUUCAGAGACCAAUAGUUAGAGGAAGAAACAAAUUAUAUGGACCUCUGGUACAAUUUCCCAAUCUGUGAGCUACCAGACCUGAGUGUUUUGGUAAGAGGUCCACAAAAUCAAAUAUAACAUUCCAUUGUCUGCAGACCAGUUAAUGACUGCAUAGUAUUUUAAUGUAUGUCAUAUGUACAAAUACAAAAAUAUCCUCCAAAAUGGGAAGAUUGGGAACACAAAUUAGAGCCAUCAAAUAAAACUGUUCUUUCAGAGACCAAUAGUUAGAGGAAGAAACAAAUUAUAUGGACCUCUGGUACAAUUUCCCAAUCUGUGAGCUACCAGACCUGAGUGUUUUGGUAAGAGGUCCACAAAAUCAAAUAUAACAUUCCAUUGUCUGCAGACCAGUUAAUGACUGCAUAGUAUUUUAAUGUAUGUCAUAUGUACAAAUACAAAAAUAUCCUCCAAAAUGGGAAGAUUGGGAACACAAAUUAGAGCCAUCAAAUAAAACUGUUCUUUCAGAGACCAAUAGUUAGAGGAAGAAACAAAUUAUAUGGACCUCUGGUACAAUUUCCCAAUCUGUGAGCUACCAGACCUGAGUGUUUUGGUAAGAGGUCCACAAAAUCAAAUAUAACAUUCCAUUGUCUGCAGACCAGUUAAUGACUGCAUAGUAUUUUAAUGUAUGUCAUAUGUACAAAUACAAAAAUAUCCUCCAAAAUGGGAAGAUUGGGAACACAAAUUAGAGCCAUCAAAAAUGCACAUUUUUCCAAUUCCAGGUGACUGAUUAAUUUGUAAAUGGAUUCAACCAUACUCUUUGGGUUUCAAUUUUGUACAAGGCAAUGCACACAAAUACAUAUGUAUCAACCAACAAUUAGGAUGUACAUUUUAUGUCUUAAAUAUCCUGUCAUUGAUAUUUGAGUGGAGUUUUAUUGGGAUCCAAUUGUAUCUACUUUCUGCAGGGGACAAAUUAGUUCAUACCUUAUCUUGACUUAUAGAGGAAUUACUUUUUCAACAGUUUGGAGAGGUGUACAAUUUACCAUACCUUCUGACCUGUAUUAUCUUACUUUUACGGUGAAUAAUAGCAACAAGAUAUUUUGAUCAGAAAAAUCCUGGUAUUUACUACUGAGGUAGUGGUGAAAUAAAAUGACAAACAUUCCUUAUCUGAUAAAAAUAUAUGCAAACCAGCUUUUGUCUUAACCAGUAGAAUAAUAAGAAAUAGAUUAGUUCCCUUCUCCAUUUUCUGUAGCCUUAUAUUUGUUUACCUAUGCAUGAUGAAAAGCAGAUUACUUUCUGAUUACACUGAAGGGUUAUUCAUGUUAUUUGGGGUAUUAUAUUUUUAGGAUUAUGUAUUAUUGCAUUUUAUUGUAAAAACGUAUGC